rnacentral:lncRNA from 1 species
AUUGAUGAAAAUGAAUUUAAUCAGGCCAGGCAGUGGUGGUGCACGCCUUUAAUUCCAGCACUCGGGAGGCAGAGGCAGAGCCCUGAUGAACUCAGGAGGACCCACCUAAAAGAAUAGCCCAGGGAUUCAAUCUUUAGUAUACAGGCUUUGGGGUCACAAUUCAGAUCUAGAAUAUAGUACUACACAGAUAAUCUUUGCAAACCAAAAGUCCAACGAAGGAUUUUGUAAUCUAAAUAUCUGAAGAGUACUCAAGAAAAAAAAA